GUGCCAGCCGCCGCGGUAAUACGGAGGGUGCGAGCGUUGCUCGGAAUCACUGGGCGUAAAGCGUACGCAGGCGGAUCGUUAAGUCGGGUGUGAAAUCCCGGGGCUCAACCCCGGAACUGCAUUCGAAACUGGCGGUCUUGAGUACGGGAGAGGGAGGUGGAAUUCCUGGUGUAGAGGUGAAAUUCGUAGAUAUCAGGAGGAACACCGGUGGCGAAAGCGGCCUCCUGGCCCGAUACUGACGCUCAUGUACGAGAGCGUGGGGAGCAAACAGGAUUAGAUACCCCGGUAGUCC
rnacentral:rRNA from 1 species